UACGAAGGGGGCUAGCGUUGUUCGGAAUCACUGGGCGUAAAGCGCACGUAGGCGGAUCUUUAAGUCAGGGGUGAAAUCCCGAGGCUCAACCUCGGAACUGCCUUUGAUACUGGGGAUCUCGAGUCCGGGAGAGGUGAGUGGAACUGCGAGUGUAGAGGUGAAAUUCGUAGAUAUUCGCAAGAACACCAGUGGCGAAGGCGGCUCACUGGCCCGGAACUGACGCUGAGGUGCGAAAGCCAGGGAGCAAAGCGGG
rnacentral:rRNA from 1 species